GAGGCAUGCUGGAGGUAUCAGAAGUGCGAAUGCUGACAUAAGUAACGAUAAAGCGGGUGAAAAGCCCGCUCGCCGGAAGACCAAGGGUUCCUGUCCAACGUUAAUCGGGGCAGGGUGAGUCGACCCCUAAGGCGAGGCCGAAAGGCGUAGUCGAUGGGAAACGGGUUAAUAUUCCCGUACUUGGUGUUACUGCGAAGGGGGGACGGAGAAGGCUAUGUUGGCCGGGCGACGGUUGUCCCGGUUUAAGCGUGUAGGUGUGUGUUCCAGGUAAAUCCGGUUCACUUUAACACUGAGGCGUGAUGACGAGGCACUACGGUGCUGAAGCAACAAAUGCCCUGCUUCCAGGAAAAGCCUCUAAGCAUCAGGUAACAUCAAAUCGUACCCCAAACCGACACAGGUGGUCAGGUAGAGAAUACCAAGGCGCUUGAGAGAACUCGGGUGAAGGAACUAGGCAAAAUGGUGCCGUAACUUCGGGAGAAGGCACGCUGACACGUAGGUGAAGUGAUUUACUCACGGAGCUGAAGUCAGUCGAAGAUACC
rnacentral:rRNA from 1 species